CGGCAACAGCUCAAAUUUGAAAUCUGGCCUCUCGGGGUCCGAGUUGUAAUUUGUAGAGGAUGUUUUGGGUACCGCCCCGGUUUAAAUUUCUUGGAACAGAAUGUCAGAGAGGGUGAGAAUCCCGUACGUGUCCGGCGG
rnacentral:rRNA from 1 species